rnacentral:rRNA from 1 species
GGAAUUGUUCGCAAUGGGCGCAAGCCUGACGACGCAACGCCGCGUGGAGGAUGAAGAUCUUCGGGUCGUAAACUCCUUUCGAUCGAGACGAACGGCCCUCGGGUGGACAAUCCGGGGGAGUGACGGUACCGAGAGGAGCAGCCCCGGCUCACCCCGUGCCAGCAGCCGCGGUAAUACGGGGGGGGCAAGCGUUGUUCGGAAUUACUGGGCGUAAAGGGCUCGUAGGCGGCCGACUAAGUCAGACGUGAAAUCCCCCGGCUCAACCGGGGAACUGCGUCUGAUACUGGCUGGCUUGAAUCCGGGAGAGGGAUGUGGAAUUCCAGGUGUAGCGGUGAAAUGUGUAGAUAUCUGGAGGAACACCGGUGGCGAAGGCGGCAUCCUGGACCGGCAUUGACGCUGAGGAGCGAAAGCCAGGGGAGCAAAC